GUUUGCUUAGGCAGGGCAGAUGCAAAGGUUGUAAUGAUAUAGAAAAUAUUAGCAUGAUCACUAUACAAGGUUGAUAUGCAAAUUUGUGAUGCAUUAUGUGUUUUU